UUACGGCCACAUCACGUUGAAACAUCUGUUCCCGUACGAUCAUGGAAGUUAAGCAACGUCGAUCCUAGCCAGUGCCAAGAGGGUGACCGCUUGGGAAUGCCAAGUGCUGUAAG